GACGAACGCUGGCGGCGUGCUUAACACAUGCAAGUCGAACGGAAAGGCCCGGCUUUUGCUGGGUUCUCGAUUGGCGAACGGGUGUGUAACACGUGAGUAAACUGCCCUUGACUGUGGGAUAACAUCACGAAACAGCGGCUCUUACCGCAUAGGAGCUCCUGCUGCGUAGUGGGCGUUGGUAAGAUUCGGCGGUUGUGUCUGGACUCGCGGCUUAUCAGCUUGUUGGUGGGGUAGUUGCUUACCAAGGCUUUGACGGGUAGCCGGCCUGGGAGGGUGACCGGCCACAUUGGGACUGCGGUACGGCGCAGACUGCUACGGGAGGCAGUAGGCGGGAACAUUGCAGAAUGGGCGGAAGUCUGAUGCAGAAACCCUGCGUGCGGGAUGACGGGUUUCGGGUUGUAAACAGCUUUCGCCUGUGCCGAAGCGUGAGUGACGGUAAUGGGUAAAGAAGCACCGGCUAACUACGUG
rnacentral:rRNA from 1 species